UACACGACCGUACCGCAAACCGACACUGGUGCGCGAGAUGAGUAUUCUAAGGCGCUUGAGAGAACUCAGGAGAAGGAACUCGGCAAAUUGACACCGUAACUUCGGAAGAAGGUGUGCCUUUAGUAGGUGAACCUGUACAAGGGGAGCCCAAUGAGGUUGCAAAAAAUCGGUGGCUGCGACUGUUUAAUAAAAACACAGCACUCUGCAAACACGAAAGUGGACGUAUAGGGUGUGACGCCUGCCCGGUGCUGGAAGAUUAAAUGAUGGGGUGCAAGCUCUUGAUUGAAGUCCCAGUAAACGGCGGCCGUAACAAUAACGGUCCUAAGGUAGCGAAAUUCCUUGUCGGGUAAGUUCCGACCUGCACGAAUGGCGUAACGAUGGCCACACUGUCUCCUCCUGAGACUCAGCGAAGUUGAAAUGUUUGUGAUGAUGCAAUCUCCCCGCGGAAAGACGGAAAGACCCCAUGAACCUUUACUGUAGCUUUGUAUUGGACUUUGAACAGAUCUGUGUAGGAUAGGUGGGAGGCUUUGAAGUGUGGUCGCUAGAUCGCAUGGAGCCAACGUUGAAAUACCACCCUGGUGUGUUUGAGGUUCUAACCUAGGCCCGUAAUCCGGGUCGGGGACAGUGCAUGGUAGGCAGUUUGACUGGGGCGGUCUCCUCCCAAAGCGUAACGGAGGAGUUCGAAGGUACGCUAGGUACGGUCGGACAUCGUGCUAAUAGUGCAAUGGCAUAAGCGUGCUUAACUGCGAGACUGACAAGUCGAGCAGAUGCGAAAGCAGGACAUAGUGAUCCGGUGGUUCUGUAUGGAAGGGCCACCGCUCAACGGAUAAAAGGUACUCUGGGGAUAACAGGCUGAUACCGCCCAAGAGUUCAUAUCGACGGCGGUGUUUGGCACCUCGAUGUCGGCUCAUCUCAUCCUGGGGCUGUAGCCGGUCCCAAGGGUAUGGCUGUUCGCCAUUUAAAGAGGUACGUGAGCUGGGUUUAAAACGUCGUGAGACAGUUUGGUCCCUAUCUUCCGUGGGCGCUGCAGAUUUGAGGAAGCCUGCUCCUAGUACGAGAGGACCGGAGUGGACACACCUCUGGUGUAUCGGUUGUCACGCCAGUGGCAUUGCCGAGUAGCUAUGUGUGGAAGAGAUAACCGCUGAAAGCAUCUAAGCGGGAAACUCGUUUCAAGAUGAGAUCUGCCGGGGCCUUGAGCCCCCUAAAGAGUCGUUCAAGACCAGGACGUUGAUAGGUCGGGUGUGGAAGCACAGUAAUGCGUUAAGCUAACCGAUACUAAUUGCUCGUGCGGCUUGAUC
rnacentral:rRNA from 1 species